rnacentral:lncRNA from 1 species
AUACAUAAAAAUAAUGUCUGAUAAUCAAAUGUGAAUGACUUAACUACAAUCAACAAAGGAAGAAUCCAGAGAGAAUAAACAUAGAGAAAGGACUCAUGACAGAAAAGGACAUUCAUCACAAUAGAAGGAACAGAAUCAGAAUGCAGAUUGAAACCUACCACCGUUCACUUGACUUUCUCCAUGAAUUUUUCUCUAGUAUGAGCUAUAUGUCUUGUUUCAUAACAUGAUAAACAGGAAAUAUGUAUUCUUUGAUAAUAUAUGUACAAUUUCUAUCAUAUUGCCUGCCUUCUUGGGGAGGAAGAAGGGAUGGGAGAGAAGAAAAAAAAAUGAGACAUAGCUUUUUGGACAUAGCUAAUAAUCAAUGAUGAGCUAAAGAAUUUCAAGAAGAGGGCAACCAGGAUGGCCAAAGGUUUCAAGAUCAAGACAAGUGAGAUGUGAUGGAUGGAAAAUGGGAAGUUUAGCCCCGGGUCUCAGGGGGUCCAUGGCAACCCUCUUCAAGUACUUGAAAGACUAUUAUGUGGAAACAUGAAUAGAUUUGAUUGAUUGGCUCCAAGAAGAAAAUCAGCACAACAAUCAUCAACAUCAUACACAUAAUUUUCUCAGCCAUUCCCUAGCUGAUGGACAUCCCGUCAUUUUCCGAUUCUUUUCCACUACAAAAGGAGCUUCUAAAAAUAUGUUCAUACAAAAACCCGGCCCCCCCUCUUUACUGGAGACAUUGUACUGAAGAAGACUUUGAAACCAAGAAGAAUAAAAUAUACUCAUAUUGGCUAGCAUUCUCAGAUAAUGGUGACUAA